rnacentral:rRNA from 1 species
AAGGGGAGCAAUCCCUGAGUAAAGUGGCGACCGGGUGAGUAACACGUGACUAACCUACCCUCGAGUGGGGAAUAACCUCGGGAAACCGGGGCUAAUACCGCAUAACGUCUUCGGACCAAAGGAGCAAUUCGCUUGAAGAGGGGGUCGCGGCCGAUUAGCUAGUUGGCGGGGUAACGGCCCACCAAGGCUAUGAUCGGUAGCCGGCCUGAGAGGGCGCACGGCCACACUGGAACUGAAACACGGUCCAGACUCCUACGGGAGGCAGCAGUGGGGAAUUUUGCGCAAUGGGGGAAACCCUGACGCAGCAACGCCGCGUGGAGGAUGAAGCCCCUUGGG